GCCCCAUCAGGAACAUCCGAUAAAAUGGGAACGAUGCAAGAAGAUAAGCAUUGACCCUGGGCAAGGAUGACACGCACAGAUCCAGAAAUGGUCCAGAUUUCU
rnacentral:snRNA from 1 species